rnacentral:rRNA from 1 species
UACAGAGGGGGCAAGCGUUGUUCGGAAUUACUGGGCGUAAAGGGCGCGUAGGCGGCCUUCUAAGUCGAACGUGAAAUCCCCGGGCUCAACCCGGGAACUGCGUCCGAUACUGGAAGGCUUGAAUCCGGGAGAGGGAUGCGGAAUUCCAGGUGUAGCGGUGAAAUGCGUAGAUAUCUGGAGGAACACCGGUGGCGAAGGCGGCAUCCUGGACCGGUAUUGACACUGAGGCGCGAAAGCCAGGGGAGCAA